CCUUUUUCCUUCAACCACUUUCAUCUUUCCUGAGCUCAGUUUCCAUGCUCUUUCAGAUGUUCUCUCCCAGGUGGAAGUUAAAGGUGGCUGGACAAAAGAGAGAAGGAUGCACCCUCACCUUGGGUCACAGUUUCCUGUUUGAACUAGAAGAUGCUCCUGCUACCCUACAGAGGGAAAAAAUAAGGUGCAGUUAAUAUGGGUACUGAGGAGUACAAAUAAUUACCUGCCUGGCAAAGUGGAUGGAGAAAUACUUCCCAUUCAAGUAUUUUAAGAGUGGAACCAUAGAAAUUCCCUGGACUGUGUCAUGGAAAGUUCUUGGAAAUGCCCACUUCCAACUGUACCAUUCUGAGAAGUUUUUCACAGAAGUUUCACCAAAAGAGAAGUGAUCCAUGAGGAUAUAAUGUCUUUGAUGAAAUUCAGCAGGAAAAUGUGCAUAAAUAGAUGGCUUAGAUAUAUUUUUACUCUUUUUAUAAUAAGGGACACCUUGAAAUGGCAAGAAAAGUCAAUGUUCCUCUGCUAUGCUCUUUGCUCCCCGACAUCUGAGAGAGAAGGAUUUCCAGUCACCAUGUUGUUCUUCAGUUCAUCCAUCUGCAGCCUGCUCCUUCUGCUUCACAUUGCAGCAGACUUUGCUGGCCAGAGUCAACUUGUCAGAAGCAGGAAUGUUUAUUGUUUUUGGCUGCUAAGGCUGUGGAUAUCUGCAAGGACAGCUUACCUGGUCAUAUGCAGGUAUAAAUCUAACUAA
ensembl:lncRNA